UACGAAGGGGGCUAGCGUUGCUCGGAAUCACUGGGCGUAAAGGGUGCGUAGGCGGGUCUUUAAGUCAGGGGUGAAAUCCUGGAGCUCAACUCCAGAACUGCCUUUGAUACUGAAGAUCUUGAGUUCGGGAGAGGUGAGUGGAACUGCGAGUGUAGAGGUGAAAUUCGUAGAUAUUCGCAAGAACACCAGUGGCGAAGGCGGCUGACUGGUCCGGAUCUGACGCUGAGGCGCGAAAGCGUGGGGAGCAAACAGG
rnacentral:rRNA from 1 species